CACGUAAGGGGCGAGCGUUGUUCGGAAUUAUUGGGCGUAAAGGGCACGCAGGCGGUUAUACAAGUCUGGUGUGAAAUACCUGGGCUUAACUCAGGAAACGCACUGGAAACUGUAUGACUAGAGUCUUGGAGGGGGAGUUGGAAUUCCUAGUGUAGGGGUGAAAUCUGUUGAUAUUAGGAAGAACACCGGUGGCGAAGGCGAACUCCUGGCUGAAGACUGACGCUGAGGUGCGAAAGCAUAGGGAGCAAACAGG
rnacentral:rRNA from 1 species